rnacentral:lncRNA from 1 species
CAGCCUCACUGGGAGUGCAGGCUCAGGGAAAGUUAGUGGCCUAAAAAGGAAGAGCUGCCUGAGGGCCAAGUCAUUUCUGCUAUGGGGCUCUCCACAUAAGGAUGAGGGAAGACCACAGCCCAAGAAGCAGCCCGAUGUAGCGGAUCACCUCUCCAGCUCUUGGCUACCCUUCUGCAAGAAGAUGACCAUCUUCUCAUAUUGAAACUAAGAUAAUGAUGAAAAAAAAAAUUACGACUUGCACACAUCAUUACACAGGUGGAGUGCCUACUUGCAUGAAAAGCGUGGCAAUAGAAGCACAGCUCUGCUCUACAUUGCAUGGAUUGUUGGAUCGCAAGAUUUAAAAAAAGGACAAAUAGUUGUGUGACAAAAAUCCAAACGUUUGAGCCCAAUGCAGCAACCUGAAACAACCACUGCGUUUCCAGAAGAGUGUCUUUCAAUAUAAAGCCUACUCCUGAGUAACUGGCACACGCUCAGCGAGCACAACACGAAGACAAC